rnacentral:lncRNA from 1 species
UUUCCUCUUCCUGUCUGUCAUGUCCAGCCUGUGAAGAGCACGCUGGCUGAGCUGGCGAGAGGGGUGGGGGCGUCCUGGGGCUGCUUCUGCUCUGAUGAAGGCACCCACUGUCACUGUCCCGGCCCUCGCUGAGUGUUCCCGGACCCGUGGGCCCGCGUCUGUGCCAGGCCUUGGGGAGCUCCAGCCUCGGAGCCUCUUCCCGUUCUCAGACCUCAGUGCGAGGAGGAAAUCGGCUCCUUGAGUUUUUGCCUCCGGUGUUGUUUGGAAGGACGUGUCUGGAGCUGCUGCAGUAAAGCUGAAGAAGUGGCCGCGUGCAGUCCUAAGCUCCUGUGGCCUCUCGGUUGCCAGCAAGUCCUUUCCUUGGCUGUGGGCCAGUGACUGUUUGCGAGACCGCAGAACGGCGAGCUACAUGUGAUCAGCCGUUGGAGGAGCCUCUUCUCCCCGGCUCGCCAGCCCCACACGCCCACCCUGUCUCAGAGAGACUUAUUUUUCCUUCUUCAAUGUCGUCAGGCUUUGCCU